rnacentral:rRNA from 1 species
UACGUAGGGUGCGAGCGUUGUCCGGAAUUAUUGGGCGUAAAGAGCUCGUAGGCGGUUUGUUGCGUCGGCCGUGAAAACCUGCAGCUUAACUGUGGGCCUGCGGCCGAUACGGGCAGACUUGAGUUCGGUAGGGGAGACUGGAAUUCCUGGUGUAGCGGUGAAAUGCGCAGAUAUCAGGAGGAACCCCGGUGGCGAAGGCGGGUCUCUGGGCCAUAACUGACGCUGAGGAGCGAAAGCGUGGGGAGCGAACAGG